UACGAAGGGGGCUAGCGUUGCUCGGAAUCACUGGGCGUAAAGCGCACGUAGGCGGAUUGUUAAGUCAGGGGUGAAAUCCUGGAGCUCAACUCCAGAACUGCCUUUGAUACUGGCGAUCUCGAGUCCGGGAGAGGUGAGUGGAACUGCGAGUGUAGAGGUGAAAUUCGUAGAUAUUCGCAAGAACACCAGUGGCGAAGGCGGCUCACUGGCCCGGUACUGACGCUGAGGUGCGAAAGCGUGGGGAGCAAACAGGGAUU
rnacentral:rRNA from 1 species